CUGCUGUCGUACUGCGGGAGCGGAGAGGAAAAACUGCAGGAUGGACGACAAAGCAACGCAGGAGUCACAGUAAAAUGUAACGGGAUUGGUCGUCUUUGUGUCAGCACCAACUCAGGUGUAAGAGGAUUGGUGAAUGGCCCGGCUUCUGGCACAGGACAAAGACAGCUCGGCACAUUUGGAGACAGAACGGUGUCUCUUGUGAAGUUAAUGACCAGCGGAUUACCGACUGAGAGAGAGAGAGAAAUACAGACACAGCGAGACAAAAAGAGACAGACCGGGUGCACCUUUAAAUACCUCCAGACAGUGUACAUACCAUCUCCUUAUUGGGUGCCAGCAUCUCCUCUAUCAUCAUGCUGUCCCGUGUGAACGAGCUCCGGUUCAGCGUGUUGGACCUAUCAGAACUGAAGGAACGCAGGCUUGGUGUGGUUGCCGUAGCAGUCACGGAUUACCAAGACAACAGUCACAAUGAUGGAGAGAGGGGAGCCUCUUCAGUUUUGGCACCGGGGCUACUCACACCAAGCCAGCACACAAUUUGAUUGCCCCAAAGGCCUGAGUGAAGCAGGGCAGUUUGUGAAACAAUUACGCAGAUUACUGCAUGAUGGACUAUGGACACAGUACUAGGACCGGAAGCUUGUUUUAGCCGUCACGAUGUCAGCUGAUGUAAUUUUAUCUCACACUCAUCUUUUGACAGCAAACCCAUAUAAAACUGCAGAUUGUUCAAAAGCUGAAGCUUCUGUCCCAGUGCGUUUUUCAGUGACUGUACGCUGGGAUGUUGUUUGUGAUGGGGUUCGGAGAAAGACUUUUUUAUGAGGCAAAUAAAGAGCAUUCCUCCGCAGUGACAUGUGAUGACUGUUUUGCCUGCAACAUCAUCCACAAUUACAACGGCUCUAUUUAGCUCCACACAAGUAGAAAUUAGUCGCCUGCUCAGAGGAA